rnacentral:rRNA from 1 species
UACAGAGGUCCCGAGCGUUAGGCGGAAUCACUGGGCUUAAAGCGUGUGUAGGCGGGUCCGUAAGUGCCUUGUGAAAUCCCACCGCUCAACGGUGGAACUGCUGGGCAUACUGCGGGUCUUGAGCCAGCUAGGGGCGACCGGAACAGACGGUGGAGCGGUGAAAUGCGUAGAUAUCAGGAAGAACACCAAUGGCGAAGGCAGCUCUCUGGGACGGUACUGACGCUGAGACGCGAAAGCGUGGGGAGCGAACAGG